UACUGUAUACUGUACUAAAAAAAAUGCCAUGUAUUACUGUAUAUUUAUUGUAUGUAAUUUGAAUUGUAAAAGUUUUUAAUUUGUAUAUUUGUAUUGUUGGGUUACUAUGGGUCAUAAUGUACAGUUGCCUCUGCAUGAAAAUACCACAGCCUGGGAGUGAGUGAGGACUUGGAUACGAGAUGUGGCAAAACAGCACCAGUCAGGGCUAAUUGAAUGGGCGUAAAACAGUGAAAUUACGUCUGUUUGUGAUAAGAUAUAAAUGAUGAAGGGGUUAAACAGAUAAGUGAACCCUGUGAUAUGUGUUAUGCAGUUUCGAUACAACGUAGUUACUGGGACUGAACUACAGGGAACUGGCAAACAGGGUAAUACACGGUUUCACGCUCAUGCCUAUGACGCUGCAUUGCCACAUCUCGUUAAUGUGUCCUCACACACACACCUAGGUCAUGGUACGUUCAUGUGGAAGCAACUGUACAUGCAUAUUAUUGUUACAAUAUGAAUUUUUCUUUUUCUUUUUUUGUUAUUCAGAAUAUAAAAUAUUUUUAGUACUGUAUUAGCUUUGAGUUUGUUUUUUAAAUACUGUAUUGGUAAAAAGUAACCAACUAAAAAUUUUCAUUACAGGAAGUGCCAUAUUUUAUGGGAUAUAAGACACUUUUUUGUCUGAAAAAUUACUAAACAAAGUCAGCCUGUGUCCUAAAUGUGAAGUUUGCUGUCUCCCACAGGCUAAUGAAUUCUCCAGUUGCUGUCUCCAGUAAGCCAAAUUUUACAUAGCGUAACUCCAGAAUUAAAAGUACUAUAUGUUAUUACUUAAACAUAUUGUACAGUGUGUUUACUUUUAAUUUAUUAAAAACAAUUAUUGUAAAUAUAAAUGCUGGAUUUAUAACUGUUGUACAGGCUGAUGAUAACCCGAGACAAUUAGUGUCCAUACAUGUCAUUUCUCACUCUUGAAUUUUUUUUUACUUGUCUUUAUUAUUAUUAUUUUUUAUUUUUUAUUAUUUUUAUAAUUAUUUAUUUGUAUUGAUUCUAUUAUCAUCAUCAUCAUCAUCAUCAUUUUGAUUAGUAUUAUUUUAUUAAAUUUUUGCCCCUCAGGCCUUGAUGGGGGUCAUUAUAAAAUAACCUAUGCCCAGGUGGGCUAAUGCCCAUAAAAAUACAACAUGGCAGGCACCCAGCUCUUCAGAGCGAAGCAGUAACCAUAUCUGAAUUCUUACAAGCACUAUAUCUAUUAAUGUCAAACCUGUAACAUUUAUCUUUACAGAUAACUUUCUUUUUACAUUUGUGUCUGUUAACAUUGCUGGCAGCAUUGUAGCCAAGUUAGAGUUGUCACUGUAUCCACCAGGCCAUCCUACACAAAUUGUGCAAGAAAUAGUUAUCAUUAAGUCAAACACAUAAGGGCAAUAAUAAUUUUUGGGCACUCGAGUUAGCUGGUUCAGUGGGGGAGCGGGAGGAAAGCACGGAGUGUAGGGAAGAUGCGUUGCUAGGGAGUCGGCAGAGGUUGUGUCCCCACUGGUCUGUGUUGCUGUGGCGAAUCAGGUAGUGUAUGCAAAUGGCAAUUGUGUUAAACUUUCAUUUGGCUUUUAUUUAGUGGUUUUAACUGCAUUUUUUUUUCAUUUAAAUCAUAUACAAAUGUUGCUUGAAGUAGCACGAGUGUUAAAUAUCAUAAGCUAGGAAAGUUAUAUGGUUUAUGAAUACUGGGAGAGGAGGUGCAGGAAGUUGUAAGUUUGCUUCAGCCUUUUGACUUACAUCUAUAAGCAUAGUCCUUACAUUUUUUUUAAAGUUUUACUUGUUUUUCAGUAUUUCAUAUUAGUUUUGUAUUUGUAAUACCUGUAGUAACACAAGACUCGUCACUAUAGCCACAUCCCCCUACCUCUCCAGGCCAAGCUCUUAGCUAUGUUAUGGUGUCUUUCCAGUCCUAAUUUUAGGUAGAUGCACUACUCAUAUUUUUAUUUAUUUUUUAUCAUAAAGUCGAAACAUAAAAUAAACUUUUUAUGUGUGUUAAGAGGAGGAGGAGGGGGGGGAGGGGGGAGUCAGAAAUCUCAGCUGUCUUCCACGUGAAACUAUUGACAAAUUUUGUUGUCCAGUAGCCAAAUAACAAUAGUCUUGUAUUUUUUGUUUUAACAUAUUUAUUGGUACAGUAUUUAUUUAUUCCACACAGUAUUAUUUUAAGAAAACUAUGGCUACAAGAGGAAAAUAUACACAAGUUUCUUUCCUAAUACAGUAUUCCCAACUGAAAGGGGGGUUGGGUGCACCUCAUAUGCCAUAAAAUACGAUAACUUUAAAUAAUACAAUAAGCUUAUGGUAAAUGACUCCACAUAAGUACUUGUGAUGAAGAAAAAGCAAACUACAAUGUUUUUUAAAUUUUACAGAAAAAUGAAUGGGAAGACACAAAAGGGAAAUGAAUGACAGUGGAAAUAUUACCAUAAUUAGCAGAGGCUAGUGGCCAGUAGUACAGGUAUUAGCAUUUUCGAAACCAAUGUGAGAAAAAACAAUUACAAAAGUGGAAAAAACUAAAUGUGUAACAAAAUUUAAGAGAUUAGAAAGAGUGCAGUUUGAGAUUAAAGCUAAAGUGAGAGGCAUCUUGUCCCCACAUUUGUUUUGAUAUUUUCAUCUGGUGUUGUGGGGAGGAGACACUUGGGCCUACAAGGAUAAAAUGAAAUACUGUACAGGUAAUAUACAGUAAUACAAUAAGGCUUGAUGACCAUAAAUACUGCACAGGUAAUAUACAGUAAUACAAUAAGGCUUGAUGACCAUAAAUACUG
rnacentral:lncRNA from 1 species